rnacentral:lncRNA from 1 species
GCCCUAAACACUGGUCACACUCUCCUGUAAUUAUUUACCACUAAACCCACACAUAUCAUCCAAUUUCAGUUUCCCUGGAAGCAGAGCAACGACCCCGGCGAGCCCUCACUUUCACGGUGGCACAAUACGGUUUGUAAUCUCCACGAAUCAGAACCAGAAGGAGGUACGCCGACGACGAUGCAAACGGUGGCCCUCAUUCUUAGCGGCGAUGAGUGAUUAUUGUUACCUAAGGGAAGGUGUUCUUACCCGAAGCAUCUUGGAGAUCCUUGGUUAUUUGUUAUCCAAAAACCCUAAACUCUUAAACGAAUCUUAAUUUGACCAACGCCGCCGCCAGUACCUCUGUCCACAACAGUCACCACCGUCACAUACCGUCUCGACACAAUGCCAACAUUGCAAUGGCGCACUAAAGGUCAGUAACUACUACUCCUUUGAGGUUGUUCUAUAUUUGCAGGCCACACUUUGAUCAAAACUGGUAGCUUAGACAAGAGCUUUGAAGGUAAACCGCCAUUACAAUGGCUAAUAAGCAGUAAUUCAAUACCCACUUUAGAUGAAUUUAAGGUUCAAUUCCAUUGGAGUUUCCAGAAGUUCCACGAGUUAUAAUCCUCCUGCUAAUGAAACAUUAAAAACGAUAGGCGUGAACAUAAAGAAAAGCUACCGUAAAAAGUUUUUAAGGUGAAGAUUUUUAAACCUCUUCAUCAAGAACCAACAUCUCCAAGAGUCCAUAUCACCAACAAAAAGUUGACGCCUAUGAUCAUUCGUAUUGCAUUGUACUCCGAGAUUCAAAGAUUUUAUUUUGAUAACGGCUCAAGCUGCAAAUGGAAAGUUAAGGUUACAGGUUGCAGAUCGGGUUGUCAUAUUGCAGGUUGCAUUUUGUAGAUUGCAAUUACUUGGGCUUGUUUGUCUUUACUCGGUAACAUGUCACAUCGUAUAUAAGUCGUAUUUUGUUUGUAAAACCGUUAGAUAGGUGAGAAUGCUUGUUGCACUUUCUUCAUGAACGGGUCAGAUUAACACCAUUCACUGAUGAAGCCGAACCGGUGGUCUCGGUUCGAUUU